rnacentral:rRNA from 1 species
AUUGAACGCUGGCGGCAUGCUUUACACAUGCAAGUCGAACGGCAGCGCGGGCUUCGGCCUGGCGGCGCGUGGCGCACGGGUGAGUAAUACAUCUGAACAUGCUCAGUAGUGGGGGAUAGCCCGUCGAAAGCCGUAUUACUACUACAUACGACCUGAGGGUGAAAGCGGGGGACCGAAAGGCCUCUCGCUCUUGGGGCGGCGGAUGUGGGAUUAGCUAGUUGGUGGGGUAAAGGCUUGCUUAGGCGACGAUCCGUGGCUGGUCGGAGAGGGCGACUAGCCACAUUGGGACUGAGACACGGCCCAGACGCCUACGGGAGGCAGCAGUGGGGAAUUGUGGACAAUGGGGGCAACCCUGAUCCAGCGAUGCCGCGUGCGGGAAGAAGGCCUUCGGGGUGUAAACCGCUUUUGUUCGGGAAGAAAUCCUCUGGGCUAAUACCCCGGGGGGAUGACGGUACCGGAAGAAUAAGCACCGGCUAACUACGUG